rnacentral:rRNA from 1 species
UACGUAGGGUGCAAGCGUUAAUCGGAAUUACUGGGCGUAAAGCGUGCGCAGGCGGUUGUGCAAGUCAGAUGUGAAAUCCCCGGGCUCAACCUGGGAACUGCAUUUGUGACUGCACGGCUAGAGUGCGGCAGAGGGAGAUGGAAUUCCGCGUGUAGCAGUGAAAUGCGUAGAUAUGCGGAGGAACACCGAUGGCGAAGGCAAUCUCCUGGGCCUGCACUGACGCUCAUGCACGAAAGCGUGGGGAGCAAACAGG